rnacentral:rRNA from 1 species
GGGAUAGAAUUCCAGGAGUAGCGGUGAAAUGCGUAGAUAUCUGGAGGAAUACCAAAGGCGAAGGCAGUCCCCUGGUCCGAUACUGACACUGAGGUACGAAAGCGUGGGGAGCAAACAGGAUUAGAUACCCUGGUAGUCCACGCCCUAAACGAUGUCGAUUAGCCAUUGGAAGGACCCCUUUUCCUUUCAGUGACGUAGCUAACGCGUUAAAUCGACCGCCUGGGAAGUACGACCGCAAGGUUAAAACUCAAAGGAAUUGACGGGGACCUGAACAAGCGGUGAAUGAUGUGGAUUAAUUCGAUGCUACGCGAAGAACCUUACCUACCUUUGACAUGGCCAAAGUUCUACCGAGAGGCGGAAGUACUCGUAAGAGGAUUGGCGCACAGGUGCUGCAUGGUUGUCGUCAGUUCGUGUCGUGAGAUGUUGGGUUCAGUCCCGCAACGAACGCAACCCUUAUCUUUAAUUGCUCCUAUUUUAACAGGCACUUUAAAGAAACUGCCAAUGAUAAGUUGGAGGAAGGUGGGGAUCACGUCAAGUCCGCAUGGCCUUUAUAGGUAGGGCUUCACACGUCAUACAAUGGUUAGAACAAAGAGCUGCAAAUUCGUAAGAAGGAGCCAAUCUCACAAACCUAACCUCAGUUCGAAUUGCGGUCUGCAACUCGAGCGCAUGAAGCCGGAAUCGCUAGUAAUCGUGGAUCGGAAUGCCACGGUGAAUACGUUCUUAGGUCUU